rnacentral:rRNA from 1 species
CCUACGGGAGGCAGCAGUGGGGAAUCUUGCGCAAUGGGCGAAAGCCUGACGCAGCAACGCCGCGUGCGGGAAGAAGGCUUUCGGGCUGUAAACCGCUUUCAGCAGGAACGAAAAUGACGGUACCUGCAGAAGAAGGAGCGGCCAACUAUGUGCCAGCGGCCGCGGUGAUACAUAGGCUUCAAGCGUUGUCCGGAUUUAUUGGGCGUAAAGAGUUCGUAGGCGGUCAAGUAAGUCGGGUGUGAAAAUUCUGGGCUCAACCCAGAGACGCCACCCGAUACUGCUUAACUUGAGUUCGAUAGGGGAGUGGGGAAUUCCUAGUGUAGCGGUGAAAUGCGCAGAUAUUAGGAGGAACACCGGUGGCGAAGGCGCCACUCUGGAUCGAUACUGACGCUGAGGAACGAAAGCAUGGGUAGCAAGCAGGAUUAGAUACCCUGGUAGUCCAUGCCGUAAACGGUGGGCACUAGGUGUGGGUUUCUAUUAACGAAAUCCGCGCCGUCGCUAACGCAUUAAGUGCCCCGCCUGGGGAGUACGGUCGCAAGACUAAAACUCAAAUGAAAUUGACGG